rnacentral:siRNA from 1 species
UGCGAAUCGUUCAGAUGUGAUGC